rnacentral:rRNA from 1 species
GACGAACGCUGGCGGCGUGCCUGACACAUGCAAGUCGGACGGUUCUUGCACCUUCAAGCUUGCUUGUUGGUUCAAGGAUAGUGGCGGACGGGUGAGUAACGCGUGAACACCUACCCAUUGGAGGGGUACAACCCGUCGAAAGGCGGGCUAAUACCGCGUAAGCCGUGAGGUGAAAGGCUGCUCUUUGGUGGCUGCCGAUGGAUGGGUUCGCGUCCUAUCAGCUGGUUGGUGGGGUAACGGCCUACCAAGGCUAAGACGGGUAGCCGGUCUGAGAGGAUGGCCGGCCACACUGGAACUGAGACACGGUCCAGACUCCUACGGGAGCAGCAGUGGGGAAUCUUGGGCAAGUGGGGGAACCCUGACCCAGCGACGCCGCGUGAGGGAUGAAGGUUUCGGAUCGUAAACCUCUGUUGUACGGGAAGAAGGAUGUGACGGUACCGUACGAGUAAGCCCCGGACAAACUACGUG